CACCCCUUUGAAAAACCCAAUGUGUGAAUACAAGGAUGAUGGUAUCUGCCGGACUGUGUCACCUAGGGCCGAAUCACUACGUGUCUCUUGCGCAUCGUGGUCACGCCCUUUGUCACCUAUUUAUAAGACCCUUUCAGAGCCUUGAUCGACCCCUCAAUGCGCAGCCUCACGGCUUUCAGUUUUACUCGGUAUUCUGCCUUGGGUGAUCAUCUUCAUUCCGUUUGUUAGCCAGCAGCCUCUUGGGCACCAAACGGCACAUUGCGUCGGGGGUGCCAUGUGAUACAAUCAAUGAUUUGUGUCAUUUUGUCUUUUUUCAUCUUUCAAGUGGAACAAUAACUGCUUUCAAUAUUUAUAGAACAUGUUAAUAUUGCCAAUCCGGGAGGGCCACCGGGGGGAUGCCGGUACGGCAUCUUCCUGUCAAGGGGGUGAGAUUCGCGAGGAAGCUUCAGGGUAUAUAAAUUGACUCUCAUAUCCUGGCUUUCUUGCUGUCUUUUCUACUUCUAUUAUUUCCUUCAUACUCGACGAAGUCCAGAUAAGAAUUUAGUCAGUCGAUCUAUACUCUGUUUUCCCCCUUGUCUAUGUCCACUUCUCCAUUCCCCGAAAAGUAAAACGCCACCUGCAAUACUUUAGGUAGAAGAACCUCGCUCUCUACCCUUCACCCUUCCCACAACCUGCGAAGAAGGUCAGAACCUAUCUACCUCGUUCUCCUUACGCGCACUGCUUAUUGAGCUUCCAAGACACUUCAUCACAACAGCAACUUUCCAGCAAGCAACAAGUUGACAUUUAUUCCCUUCUGGCUGGUCAGCAAUGUGCUAUCGAGUUCGUACCUACUACAAGUGCAUGCAUUUAGAAUCAGAAUCUUCCAAUAACUGUGACCAGUACCCUGAUUGCGAUAGUGAUUGGGUCGACGUCUAUCUUGAAGAUUACUGCCCACGUUGUCUGUAUUGUUAGGCAAACGGCUGUUCUUCUUGAGCAAACAGCUUGUGCUACGGGUUAUAAGAGCUCGCUUUCGCGACUGCCAUCACAUGUGUGUAACCAUUAGAACCACCUACAAGUGUCAGUGUUUGGAAAGUGAAGUCUUCAAUCUCUGCGUUAUCGAGGGGUGCACCCGCUUGGACUUCGCGACUGUCCAUCUGGAGAGAAACUGCGCGGAGUGCCAUCGUCUUUCUGUAGGGAUAGGUUUCCCAUUCUCCCUCGUAUCCACGGUUUUCCACGCAAUCCGCCAUAAUGUGUAGGAUGUACACUAUUUACUAUCGGUGCUUCUGCCUGAAGAGCAGAACCCCUAUCGACGGCCCGUGUUCUGAUUACCCCGAUUGUGUCCAAGAAGACUGGAAUGUGGAGUACAUUUAUGAUUGGUGUCCCGAACACGAGCGCCAACCAAACGGACAUUGAUCCGCCCGCGCAUUCCAUUCAUUCGGUGCCGGACACGGAUCAUGUAUUCCUUCCUGCGAAUCUAACGCCCAUCCAUCCACUCUUCACUAUGCACAUUCCCCGAUCUUCUUGUCGAUGCGUUCGGUUUUCCAUUCGCUGAUGGCGCCGCUGAGGAAUCCCCGCUGAUAUCCGAUCCCCCGUUCCAGCAGAAUCUCAGAAUCUCUCUUUGAUGCUGUUUCAGUUCAUGUGUGCCAGCUGCACUAGCUAUGCCUCAUUGAUUUGCCCUUGUUCGAGAACGUCACAUUGAUCCUUGAUUUGAAUAUCCCUUCCCUACUUCGCCCCUUGAUUCCCGUCUCGCAUUGUCUUUCCUGAGUUUGUUUCCUGAGAGAGCACCAUUCCCCAUAUAUCUGUUAUUAGUGAUUUCCUUAUCCAGUUUUUCUUUUAGCCUUUGAGAAACGUACACCCUUUGAACGACCAUCCUAGUAUGGAAAUUGCUGCUUUCCCCCGGUACAGUACUCUCAUGAUUGCAUGAUUGCAUGUUUCAUACUUUUCUCUAGUUAAACUAAAUUGAAUAGUCACUUAAAUUCUUGAAGAAACCCUAUUGUUUACACAUAGCUGGCUUUCCUACUGUUGUUAUUUGGCGUCCGCGGACGAAGGAAACUGCCUUUUGACAAACAUGGACCUGCUUUGGUGGGAUUUGCCGUGAGCAACGGGAGGUUGAAAUAAGGUUAUGCAGCGGAUUCUGAUUGGCUCCUGGAUUAAGUAGAACGGUGCCACCCAGCUGGACAGACACAUACACUUCUAUAAAUAUCUAGCCACAAAAGUACUGCUACGCUGCGUAAGUUGAGUAAACGGGAGAUACUAGCGGGAAAUAGCCAAACAAAUAUACCGAUUCCUUGUUUUGUUGUUAACAAACCUACGUGAGUGAACGAUGCGUGGAACACUAAACUAACCACAUGGCGGCAUAAAAGAUCUAGUUAUCAAAAAUGAAUGUCAUAAAAGAUAUGCAAAUCCCAUAACCAUCCAUCCAUCCAUCCAUCCAUCCAUCAAAUCUUACUCCCAACUUUCCAAGCUUUUCAACACACAGCCCUCAUCCUCUUCACGCGCAACCAACUCUCCAACAACGAAUACCUUCUCCCCCUUUCCUUCCAACAGUCCCUUCACAAGUGCCACAUCCUCCUUUCCAACAACAAUAACCAUGCCAAUCCCGUUAUUAAAUGCCCGCCCCAUCUCCGAGCCCGUAAUUCCCCCAGACUUCUUCAGCCACCUAAACACCGGCGGAAGUGGCCACGACGCAACAUCAACAAGCGCUGUCAGAUAUUUUGGGAGCGCGCGCGGGAUAUUCUCCACAAGUCCGCCACCGGUAAUAUGCGCAAGACCCUUAAUCGCACCGGGAGCCGCCGCGAGAGCCGCCAGGAGCGGCUUGACGUAGAUCCGCGUAGGGGUCAAUAGCGCAGCACCGAGCGACGGAGCCGUGGUCUCAAAGGGCGCAGCAUCGUGGUACGAGAGGCCCGAGCGCUCGACAACUUUCCGCACC
rnacentral:sRNA from 2 species